rnacentral:rRNA from 1 species
UACGUAGGGGGCAAGCGUUGUCCGGAUUUAUUGGGCGUAAAGAGCGUGUAGGCGGCCUGAAAGGUCGGUUGUGAAAACUGGAUGGCUCAACCUCCAGACGUCGACCGAAACCAUCAGGCUAGAGUCCGGAAGAGGAGAAUGGAAUUCCUGGUGUAGCGGUGAAAUGCGCAGAUAUCAGGAAGAACACCCGUGGCGAAGGCGGUUCUCUGGGACGGUACUGACGCUGAGACGCGAAAGCGUGGGGAGCGAACAGG